GAGGUAAGAGGACAACACUUGGAGCAAUGCAUCACUAAGAAGCUGGGGAGAUGGUGGGGGUAACUAACGACGGACCCCGAGCAGAGGAAGAGACGAGCCAAGCCAGGGUGGUGCCCUAGAAGGUAAAUAAAGGAAGCGUUUCAGAAGGAGGAUGUGAUCACUGGUUUUAGAGCAAUGUCAGCUCUGGGGAGAUGAAGACUGGGGACAGCUGGCCACUGGCGAUGGGGAGUAAAUGUUGGUUGGAUGAAUAAACAGGGAAUACGCUGAAAUUCCACCUAGAACUGUGAUGUCAUAUGGGUUCUGGGAUAGGAUCUGGCCUCGUGAACAGCAAAUGAGAUGAUGCCAGUUAAGCAAAGCCAACACAACUUGGGCUCAAGCAACCAAAGGCCAAAUUGGAGGCUCUAGAUCCUUCCAGCUUCAGGUCGGGCAGGAUUGUUCCUGGGAACUAGAAGGAGACCCGCUGCAGGCACUAUGCAAAGCCAGAGGGGAGAACCCGAAGACAUAAGACGUGGUCUUUCCUGGGGAGGUUCUCCAUCUAAUAGGAGAGAGACACAAGUGGAUGGAUGGCCCAGAUGCAGGAUAGUUAGAGGUCCACUCAAGGUCAAGUUCUAUGCUGUGAGACUCCACGGAAACAGUUCCAUCUCCCCCGUGGAGUCUGAACUAGAUCCACUAAAAGGCCAGUUUCAAAGGCCAUCAGAGACCCAGAUGGUGCUUGAACAAAAAUGGUCAGCGGUAACUCAUCAACCUGGAUUCCCGAGGAAGAAGAGUGCCAGCAAGGCCACCAUCUCAGAACUGGCAAACUGCAAGACUGUCCUCUGGUCUAACCACCACCCCUCUUCCGCGUUCCUGCCACACGGGUGCACCCCUACCUACCGGGACAGGAAUCCCACUACGUUCUUUUCCUCUUACUAAAAGGAUAAACUUUAAACUCUUUUGCUUUUUCCGUGUGCUUCGAGAUGAUGUUUGAAAUACAUACAAACCCUUCCCUUCAUCAAAUUUCGCUGAAAUAAUAGAAAGGCACAUAAAAA